rnacentral:lncRNA from 1 species
GGUAUUGUUGUGUCGUCCUCUGUGGCGCCGAGGCUUCCUCCAACGGAUAGCUGGCAUUGGGCUGUUACCAGCGAAGUCGACGGCUAUGGCGGCGGGCAGGUCCUUCCGCCGGCACUCCAUCUUCUCCUUAAAUACCAUCGGCCCUGCGCAGGGGACCUCUGCCGUUUCGUCGCCCUCCGAAGAGCUUCUGCGGAGCUGGGACCGGUAGAGAGAGAAAGCGGGAGGGAGGGGAUCUCGUUGGGGAGAGAAGAUGAGGAGUGACGUUCUCCCACGGCUGCUCUUCGGAGCUCUGGCUUGCCUGAGCCUCUUCCUCGUCAACGCCGAGGACCCUUACCGUUUCUUCACCUGGACCGUCACCUACGGCACCAUCUCCCCCCUCGGCGUUCCCCAGCAGGUUGAUUGCCCCCCCUCCGCUCUCUCUCCCUCUCUGUGGUUCGUCAUGGCUGAUCGAAGGGAUCGUCGACUUCGUGAUUCUCCCUGUAGGGUAUUCUGAUCAAUGGGCAGUUCCCUGGGCCCAAGCUCGACUGCGUGACGAACGACAAUAUAGUGGUCAACGUCAUCAACAAGCUCGAUGAGCCCUUCCUUCUCACAUGGUGAGCCACUGGUCUUAUCCACGGAGGGAAAGAAGCUCUUCUGAAACCCUAGCCUGGGAUAGUGAUCGGUUGUCUUUGGAGCAACAGGAACGGGAUCAAGCAGAGGAAGAACUCAUGGCAGGACGGAGUCCUGGGCACCAACUGCCCCAUCCCGCCCAACUCCAACUUCACCUACAAGUGGCAGGCCAAGGAUCAGAUCGGCUCCUUCUUCUACUUCCCAUCGACGGCGAUGCACCGGGCCGCCGGCGGCUUCGGGGGGCUCAACGUGAACCAGAGGGGGCCCAUUCCUAUCCCAUAUCCGGUUCCCGCCGGAGAUUUCACCCUCCUCAUCGGCGACUGGUACAAGGCCGGUCACAAGGUCCGUCCACGCCCCUCCCUGUUUCAGAAGAGCCUCAUUAAUUGUAUUUCAAUAGAAGAAACAUAAAGAUCGUGGGUCGACAUGCAGGCGAUUAGGCAGUCCUUGGACGCCGGAAGGGCCCUUCCUCUCCCCGACGGCAUCCUCAUCAAUGGGCUUCCUCAGGGCUCCGUCUUCACCGGAGACCAAGGUACAUGUGGGCAGGACUUUAUGAACCUGCAACCUCGUUGACUCUAGAUUCUAUCGCCGAUGAGGUCCUCGAGGAACCAAAGAGAUUGGGAUUAAACUUGUAAACUUUGAUCCACUCCGCAGGUAAAACCUACAAGUUUAGGGUCUCCAACGUGGGUCUGUCGACCGCCUUCAACUUCAGGAUCCAGGGGCACAAGAUGAAGGCUGUGGAGGUGGAGGGCUCCCACGUAAUCCAGGAAUUCUACGACUCCAUCGACGUCCACGUCGGCCAGUCCGUUGCGGUCCUCGUCACCCUCGACCAGCCCGCCGGCGCCUACUACAUCGCCGCCUCCACCCGGUUCACAGCGUCCGCGCUGACCGCGACGGCCGUUCUUCGCUACUCCAAGUCAACCUCCCCCGUCUCCGGCCAGAUUCCCCCUCCUCCUGCUUUCCAGCUUGAGGGUUCCAUACUCCAAGCGAGGACCUUCCGGUGGAACUUGACGGCGAACGCUGCCAGGCCCAAUCCCCAGGGUUCUUACAGGUAUGGGAGCAUCCCUCGGACGAGGUCCCUCGUCCUCGCCAACACCGCUCCGGUGGUCAACGGGCGGCAGAGAUACGCAGUCAACGGGUUCACCUAUGUCAACCCCGACACCCCCCUGAAGCUCGCCGACUACUUCAACAUUCAAGGGGUCUUCACCGUGGACAACAUCCCGGCAGCGCCGCCUGCCACCGCCGCCGCCCCCAUCUUCUCCACGUCCGUCCUGAGGUUCAACCUCCGCGACUUCGUCGAGGUCGUCUUCCAGAACAACGAGAAGGAACUGCAGAGCUGGCACAUCGACGGAACCGACUUCUGGGUCGUGGCGUAAGUGGGCCCUAAUACAAUCCUCACAUCAUAAAGUUCGAUCUAUCUUAAAAAGCUAAAUAUUUAUCGUCGAUGAACCAGGUACGGCAACGGGCAG